UAUCUCAUUCUAUUUUCAUGUGUUGUUUGGGCAGAGAGUUUGAUGGAGAAGUUUGUUUGUGCAGAGAGUUAGAUGGAUAAGUUCAUAACAGCUUCUUCUUUCACUUAACUCUUGUCAAAAACCUAAGCUGAGGAUUUAAAAGCUUAAUUUUAGCUAUUACAAAAGGCAAUGGCUAUUUGGCAGAUCUCUAAACCAGAGGAGCAAUGGUUCUGCAUAUAAAUCAUAUUAUAGAAAUGAUGGUGAUGAACAUUUAUAUGCAGAACCAUUGCUCCUAUUUGCCCCCACUCUUCUGUCGGUCCUACUGAUUCGAAAUUAGGAGGAAGAUUAGCUCUAACAAUCAAUUCGUAUUCAUGAACCCUGGUGAAGGUGAAGAGUAGAAUGCCAAGUAGAGUAGAAUGCAGAGUGGGAUGUGAGUGAGAAUGGAGUGGAAAAGGUGAAGAUGCAUAUACAGCAAAUCUGGAGGUGCCUACAGGAACAAACGAUGAUAGAGGGGAGGAAAUAGUAGAAAAUUUGGGGAGGGAAAGGUUUUAGUUUAAAAGGAAGCCCAUGCAGUAAGUAUAUGCCGCUGAAGAUGAAGAAACAGAAGCCUAGCUCGUAUCGAAGCUCCUCUUAUGUUUCAUCUCUCUUUGGCCGGCCUAUUGAUGGAGCGGGAGUAGGGUUCAGAACAAAGCUUUCAACUUUCCUUAAAUUUUCAUGUCUAUUUCAAAAUUUCACCAUCUCCUGUCUAUUUUCAUCUGUAGAAUGGUCAAUUUGAUAAGCUGAGACUAAAGGAAGAGAGAAGAUAAUGGGAGGGCUUUUGUCUGGUUCUCUGUGCAAGAAGAAAGAAGAGAGAAGAUGAAUAGUUUAAAAGGAAAUGAAAGCAUAAAAAGAUUAAUUCUUUGAAGUGGAAAUGGAAGUAAGAAUUAAUUGCUACAAGUAGUGAAAAUGCUUAAACGGGAAUGGAUGUUUUUCCAGUAGAAUUAAUAAUGUUUUAACUUUUUUAUUUUAUUAUAUUUGAAUUAGUAUGUAAAUUAAAUUUAAAA